rnacentral:lncRNA from 1 species
UUUUUUUUUUCUUUCUUUUUCUUUUGGCUACACCCACGGAAUGCAGAAGUUCCCAAGCCAAGGAUAGAACCCACACCAUAGCAGUGACCCAAGCCACAGUAGUGAAAAUGCUGGACUCUUAACCCACUGAUCAAGGUACCCAUAAGUCUACGCAUUCUGAAGUCACUGACAACACCCAUUUACCCUGUCAAAUAAGAUCGAAAUUUUUUUAAAUCUUUUUAAGCUUUUAAUUAUUCUAUAAGACUACAACUGUUUUAAGACUAAUGCAGCCAAUUUUGUCACUAAGAUGAACACAAUUCUACACUAUUACUAUGGUGACAACAUCUAGGACUCUGCCAGGGUAUGUUUCUUUAACUAUAAGAGUGACCUUGCACUCAGGAACCAGUAGGCGGCACUCAAACACGACACUGGGCAGGGGACUUUGCUCACCCCCUAGUUAGGAAGCUCAUUUGAUACCCGUGGAGCAACAGGGAGCAGUGACCCAAACUUGUGCCUCGGUAAAAUUCCUGAUCGUGGACUCUUGCGAAUGCUUCUGGCUUGUUAAAUCCAAGAUCACCAAGAGGUCAACAGUAAGGUUUUAUCAAAAAACGGGAGUACCAUGCAAUGAUUAAAACUGAUACCUGUGACGGCGACAGGAAAAAGUUUCCAUAAAUGCUGCAUAAGCAAAAGAAAAGCACAAAAUUUUAGAAAGAUCUUGUAACUGCCGAAUAAGGUAAAACAGUGAUUAAGUCUGAACGAAAGUUUUAAGAUUCUUAUUUCUUUUUAUUGUAUCUUAAGGUAUAUUUAAUAAUAAAAAUGUUUUAGAAAACACAGUUUUAGAAGGCAAAAUUAUUUAGAUGGGAAUAGUAUUUUAUCCAUUUGGUCUUGAACAUAUGUUUUGGUUUUAAAUUUAAUUCUAAUCUUUUAACACUUGCCUUUGUACAUAUACAUGUCCUAGGCUGCAUUAUAGAUGGGACUGCUCAUCUCAAAGAUGCCUGCUUCUGUGUGCUGGCCUUGGGAUAAAGGUACACAGAGCAAAAGAUUUAGGUGGUACACAGUAAUACGGCCAAUUAUAACAAUGCUAUAUCUAACAUCUCCAUCCAUGAUCAGAUUAACGGAUGAGAGGUAGACUCUGCUGAGUUUUGAGAUGCACUGAACAUUAAGGCAUUAGCUAGAUGUUACAGGUUCUGACCAAAGUUAAAUUAUCAAAGGAAUAAAUAAUUAAGUUCAUUAUGGAAAGUACAGAGUUAUGUCCAUAAAGCAAAAGAAACAAAAAAGGAAUGUGGAGUAUAAAUAUUAAAAUACAGAAAGCUUGACCUAAAAUACGUUUGCCUCUGAAAAUAAUCAGUUGCUCUCAGUUUCCAUUAUGGAUCGGAGGUAAUGGGUUCAGAAGGCAGUCUGAAGGGCUUAGGAUAACUAAUUAAGAAACCGCUCAACUGCUAAACAAAAAACCAGUGCCAUCAAAUGCAGCUGUAAAAGCUCCCCAUCAAGUUAAUUUUCUAAAUCGGAGGUUUUCAACGGGGGUUGGAAUCCCUCUAGGAGGCAUUCUAGAAAUUGGUGGGAGCACUUUUGUCUUCCAGUCUAAUCUUUUCCUUUCAUUUCUUCUUUAUGCCACAGCUAGAGCAUAAUAUUGAUUUAUUCAAACCUCCUUUUCAUUAUGAUAUAACCAACAUACAGAAAAAUGGAUAAAGUAUAAAGGUACAACUCAGCAAACAGUUGUAAAAUAACUCCUACCCAGCACCCAGAAACUCCUCAGGUGCCUCUCCCUGGCAGUCCUGACAGCUAGUAAAAGCAAGUGUUUUCACUUUGUUCUUCUUCAUAGGUGACCUGGUUAAUUUUGACCCUUUAUACUUCUUUAUAAACUUUAGAAUCAGCCUAUUAAAUUCCACUGGGGGGAGAAAAACAGUGAUAUCCUUUAGAGGGUUAUAUUAUAUUGAUUUUUUUUUAAUUUAUUUUUGUGGGUAGGUUAUAUUUUCCACGAAUUUUAUUUCAGGAUGGUAAGGGCCAUUACAUAAUGUUUCUUAUAAAAAGGGAAUGUUGUUGCUCUUAAGGAUAAGAACCAAUGUCCUCAACGAAAUAAAAAUGUGGUCCUCUCCCUUAGUGAAUGGGGAUUUAAUAUCCAAGACGAAGUCUUCUACAAAACCCAAAACUCACUCAAGGUGAUCCCUGAGACCAUCCCCAUUUGAAAACCUUUCUGAGAUGUCAUGACUUGUCCAUCUAAUUAUGAUACACAGGGUUUUCUAGGUAUAGGUGUACCCUGAUAUCCUUUAGAGGUUUAUGCGAUUUUAUCGAAAUCCAUUAACUCCUUCACAAAUUAUCUAAAGAUGAUCAAAGGACACACUAAUGCCAAAUAGGUCAAUAUCAAUAAAUUCCUGUUUAUUUUGGCACUUAAAGCCAACACAGUUAACAAAACUUGAAAUCUGUGAGGUCAAUGGAUAAAGUUAGCAUUGGGAUUCUGUAGUGAAGUUAUAUAAUAAAAAAUUAAUAAAUCAGAUAAUAAAGUGAGUUAAAAGAAUGUUUUUGGAAUCCUAAAAAUUUAAUCCAGGUAGUUCCUGUCGUGUGGCUCAGUGGUUAAUGAACCCGACUAGCAUCCAUCAGGACACAGGUUUGAUCCCUGGCCUCGCUCC